rnacentral:rRNA from 1 species
AGAGUUUGAUCAUGGCUCAGAUUGAACGCUGGCGGCAGGCCUAACACAUGCAAGUCGAACGGUAACAGGAAGAAGCUUGCUUCUUUGCUGACGAGUGGCGGACGGGUGAGUAAUGUCUGGGAAACUGCCUGAUGGAGGGGGAUAACUACUGGAAACGGUAGCUAAUACCGCAUAACGUCGCAAGACCAAAGAGGGGGACCUUCGGGCCUCUUGCCAUCGGAUGUGCCCAGAUGGGAUUAGCUAGUAGGUGGGGUAACGGCUCACCUAGGCGACGAUCCCUAGCUGGUCUGAGAGGAUGACCAGCCACACUGGAACUGAGACACGGUCCAGACUCCUACGGGAGGCAGCAGUGGGGAAUAUUGCACAAUGGGCGCAAGCCUGAUGCAGCCAUGCCGCGUGUAUGAAGAAGGCCUUCGGGUUGUAAAGUACUUUCAGCGGGGAGGAAGGGAGUAAAGUUAAUACCUUUGCUCAUUGACGUUACCCGCAGAGGAAGCACCGGCUAACUCCGUGCCAGCAGCCGCGGUAAUACGGAGGGUGCAAGCGUUAAUCGGAAUUACUGGGCGUAAAGCGCACGCAGGCGGUUUGUUAAGUCAGAUGUGAAAUCCCCGGGCUCAACCUGGGAACUGCAUCUGAUACUGGCAAGCUUGAGUCUCGUAGAGGGGGGUAGAAUUCCAGGUGUAGCGGUGAAAUGCGUAGAGAUCUGGAGGAAUACCGGUGGCGAAGGCGGCCCCCUGGACGAAGACUGACGCUCAGGUGCGAAAGCGUGGGGAGCAAACAGGAUUAGAUACCCUGGUAGUCCACGCCGUAAACGAUGUCGACUUGGAGGUUGUGCCCUUGAGGCGUGGCUUCCGGAGCUAACGCGUUAAGUCGACCGCCUGGGGAGUACGGCCGCAAGGUUAAAACUCAAAUGAAUUGACGGGGGCCCGCACAAGCGGUGGAGCAUGUGGUUUAAUUCGAUGCAACGCGAAGAACCUUACCUGGUCUUGACAUCCACGGAAGUUUUCAGAGAUGAGAAUGUGCCUUCGGGAACCGUGAGACAGGUGCUGCAUGGCUGUCGUCAGCUCGUGUUGUGAAAUGUUGGGUUAAGUCCCGCAACGAGCGCAACCCUUAUCCUUUGUUGCCAGCGGUCCGGCCGGGAACUCAAAGGAGACUGCCAGUGAUAAACUGGAGGAAGGUGGGGAUGACGUCAAGUCAUCAUGGCCCUUACGACCAGGGCUACACACGUGCUACAAUGGCGCAUACAAAGAGAAGCGACCUCGCGAGAGCAAGCGGACCUCAUAAAGUGCGUCGUAGUCCGGAUUGGAGUCUGCAACUCGACUCCAUGAAGUCGGAAUCGCUAGUGAUCGUGGAUCAGAAUGCCACGGUGAAUACGUUCCCGGGCCUUGUACACACCGCCCGUCACACCAUGGGAGUGGGUUGCAAAAGAAGUAGGUAGCUUAACCUUCGGGAGGGCGCUUACCACUUUGUGAUUCAUGACUGGGGUGAAGUCGUAACAAGGUAACCGUAGGGGAACCUGCGGUUG